rnacentral:rRNA from 1 species
CCUACGUGCGGCAGCAGUGAGGAAUAUUGGUCAAUGGGCGCGAGCCUGAACCAGCCAAGUAGCGUGAAGGAUGACUGCCCUACGGGUUGUAAACUUCUUUUAUAAAGGAAUCAAGUGAGGCACGUGUGCCUUUUUGUAUGUACUUUAUGAAUAAGGAUCGGCUAACUCCGUGCCAGCAGCCGCGGUAAUACGGAGGAUCCGAGCGUUAUCCGGAUUUAUUGGGUUUAAAGGGAGCGUAGAUGGGUUGUUAAGUCAGUUGUGAAAGUUUGCGGCUCAACCGUAAAAUUGCAAUUGAUACUGGCAGUCUUGAGUACAGUUGAGGUAGGCGGAAUUCGUGGUGUAGCGGUGAAAUGCUUAGAUAUCACGAAGAACUCCGAUUGCGAAGGCAGCUUACUAAACUGCCACUGACAUUGAUGCUCGAAAGUGUGGGUAUCAAACAGGAUUAGAUACCCUUGUAGUC